rnacentral:rRNA from 1 species
UGGGGAAUAUUGCACAAUGGGCGCAAGCCUGAUGCAGCCAUGCCGCGUGUGUGAAGAAGGCCUUCGGGUUGUAAAGCACUUUCAGCGAGGAGGAAGGUGGUGAACUUAAUACGUUCAUCAAUUGACGUUACUCGCAGAAGAAGCACCGGCUAACUCCGUGCCAGCAGCCGCGGUAAUACGGAGGGUGCAAGCGUUAAUCGGAAUUACUGGGCGUAAAGCGCACGCAGGCGGUUUGUUAAGUCAGAUGUGAAAUCCCCGGGCUCAACCUGGGAACUGCAUUUGAAAACUGGCAAGCUAGAGUCUCGUAGAGGGGGGUAGAAUUCCAGGUGUAGCGGUGAAAUGCGUAGAGAUCUGGAGGAAUACCGGUGGCGAAGGCGGCCCCCCUGGANGAAGACUGACGCUCAGGUGCGAAAGCGUGGGGAGCAAACAGAUUAGAUACCCUGGUAGUCACGCUGUAAACGAUGUC